rnacentral:lncRNA from 1 species
CAAAUAGUCCAGCUAGCCAUUUGAUUACCUGUUCAGGAGUCUUAUGGCUUGGGGGUAAAAACUGAUGAGAAGCCUUUUUGUCCUAGACUUGGCACUCCGGUACCGCUUGCAAUGCGGUAGUAGAGAGAACAGUCUAUGACUGGGCUGGCUGGGGUCUUUGACCAUUUUUAGGGCCUUCCUCUGACACCGCCUGGUGUAGAGGUCCUGGAUGGCAGGCAGCUUAGCCCCGGUGAUGUACUGGGCCGUACGCACUACCCUCUGUAGUGCCUUGCGCCCCAAACUCCACCAUUAACACAGUUACCAUUCAAAAACGAGCUGUUUGUCUAAAAAAUGACAUUGCGACCAAACAGAACAGACAUAGUGGACAUAGUUUUCAUCAAGCCAGCUUCUUUCUAUGGUGCUACCCAGGGUAGGACUGCAACCACCAGAGGAUCAGAGCGGAGAGGAUCACCAAAACUAAAGAGCAUACAACCAUGACGACAACCAGCUGUAGUGAUCAGUGGAAAAAGGUCUGGACAACGGGCCGCACCGAAAAAAACGCAUGGUUGUCAAGAAAGCGGUCACUGUAAUCGAUGGGGGCUCUUGGCGGUACCAUUCCGCUCAUCUGAUGAAGGUGCACAUGGAUCAGAUUCAAACUUUGAAGACCGAGAUCGAGUCAUUGAAGGCAGACCAGAAAGAGAAACAUUAUCUGAAGGCAGAGAUAUGGGUGACAGCUGAUGCAUUGGUCCAGAGCCGGGUGGCAUUGGGGGAGAGUCAGGCGGAGAAUGAAGAGGGCGAGGAACGAGAUGGAGUCACAAUCCAUGCCAGGCACACCUGUGAGCUCUGGAACUCCACCUUCGACAGGCAAAGUCAACGUACCUGGCGGGUUCGUCAGGUUGUCGAUUCACCCUGACAUUUCCAUUUCUCUUCUGACAACAGAACUUGACCAAGGCAAAUGUAGCUUACCAGUGAACCUCCGGGUGUUCAUCAUUAAUACUGUGUCACAAAAGUUUCUGUCCAUGACUGAUGCAACCCGAAAAAGCAUUAAAGACAGAGUUAAGGAGUACUUGAGGUCACC